rnacentral:rRNA from 1 species
AGUGAACGCUGGCGGUAGGCCUAACACAUGCAAGUCGAACGGCAGCACAGUAAGAGCUUGCUCUUACGGGUGGCGAGUGGCGGACGGGUGAGGAAUACAUCGGAAUCUACUUUUUCGUGGGGGAUAACGUAGGGAAACUUACGCUAAUACCGCAUACGACCUACGGGUGAAAGCAGGGGAUCUUCGGACCUUGCGCGAUUGAAUGAGCCGAUGUCGGAUUAGCUAGUUGGCGGGGUAAAGGCCCACAAAGGCGACGAUCCGUAGCUGGUCUGAGAGGAUGAUCAGCCACACUGGAACUGAGACACGGUCCAGACUCCUACGGGAGGCAGCAGUGGGGAAUAUUGGGCAAUGGGCGCAAGCCUGAUCCAGCCAUACCGCGUGGGUGAAGAAGGCCUUCGGUUUGUAAAGCCCUUUUGUUGGGAAAGAAAAGCAGCAGGUUAAUACCCCGCUGUUCUGACGGUACCCAAAGAAUAAGCACCGGCUAACUUCGUG